CCCUACGGGGUGCAGCAGGCGCGAAACCUUUACAAUGCACGAAAGUGUGAUAAGGGAAUCCUAAGUGCUCAUGCAUAGCAUGGGCUUUUGCUAAGGGUAAAAACCUUGGAGAAUAAGUGGUGGGUAAGACUGGUGCCAGCAGCCGCGGUAACACCAGCGCCACGGGUGGGAACCAUGAUUAUUUGGCCUAAAGCGUCCGUAGCUGGCGUGGUAAAUCUUUUGUGAAAUCGAACAGCUCAACUGUUCGGCAUGCAGAAGACACUGCCUAGCUCGAGACCGGGAGGGGUAAGGAGUAUUCUGGGGGAACCGGUAAAAUGGGAUAAUCCUCAGAGGACUACCUGUGGCGAAGGCGCCUUACCAGAACGGAUCUGACAGUGAGGGACGAAGGCUAGGGGAGCGAACCGGAUUAGAUACCCGAGUAGUCCUAGCAGUAAACGCUGUGGGUUAGGUGUUGCACCAUCUACGAGAUUGUGCAGUAUCGAAGCGAAGGCGUUAAACCCACCGCCUGGGAAGUAUGGUCGCAAGACUGAAACUUAAAGGAAUUGGCGGGGGAGCAC
rnacentral:rRNA from 1 species